GUCUCUGUAGCUCAGCUGGGAGAGCGUCAGACUGAAGUGAUUCAGUCAUCAUAUAUCUGAAGGUCUCGUGUUCAAGCCACGACAGGGACA
rnacentral:tRNA from 1 species